CCAAUCUCACUCUCAAAAUCGCUCGCGCUCUCAGCAAGCUUUCAAUCUCUCAUCCCUAACCUAUCUCAACGCAACCUCUCUCAAUCUUUCCCAAUCGCAUUUCUCUCAUCCCAAGCCUAUCAAACCUAAAGACGCCACAUAAGAGAGAUUCAGAGGGAAAACGGAGUGAUGCUCACCUUUGGGUGUGAUUUCGGUGGUUGCGGCAAGCUUGCAAUGAGCUCCCUUUGCCAGGAUUAGGGUUUUCGGAUUGAUACUCAAGAGCUCAAUGGGGAAAUUUUCAGAAGCGCUUUUGCUGUUCAGAAACGAGUUUAGCCCGUUUGAUGAUGGAUUUCGAAAAGUGAAAUGGGGUUGUGAGAAGGAUCAAGAACCUGAAGAUGAGAUUGGUCAAGAGUAGAUGAUAGAUUGAUGCCACUAUCGAUCAAAUUAUUUUCGAGAUGAAGCUCUUGUAAUAUUGGCAUUGUGGAAAAAAUCUGGUAGAAGAAAGCCUUUUAAUUGGUUGGAACUGAUAUCAAGCACUCUAAGCUUUGGAUACCGGGUUAACUCAUUUGGAAGGUUGUCACCGAGAUCAUCACCGGAUAAGUUCAAAUAGUUUAAUCGCAUAAACUGAGGAGUUACCUUGGGGAUGUUCCUAGUCAAACGAUUCUGGCUGAGAUCAAGAUAUUCUAUGUUCCCCCAUUUAAACAUCCUCGUCAAAUUUCCUUCAAAUUUGUUAUUUGACAGAUCAAGUACAACGCAACUUCCAGUCAGCGGCGACAACUGGCCGGUGAAACCAUUCGACGAGAUAUUCAGAAAGUGAAGCGUCGUGGAUGUAAUUAUACUCAGCGGUCCUGAGAGAUUGUCGGCGCUCAAAUCAAGUUCAGUUAGAACCAAAGAAUCUCCUUUAAGUAAGCCUCCUGAAAAUCUAUUGUUGCUAAGCUUAAGGAUUUGGAGAUCGUAAACAAAAUCGA